rnacentral:rRNA from 2 species
UGGAUCCAGACUUUGAUCCUGGCUCAGGAUGAACGCUAGCUACAGGCUUAACACAUGCAAGUCGAGGGGAAACGACAUCGAAAGCUUGCUUUUGAUGGGCGUCGACCGGCGCACGGGUGAGUAACGCGUAUCCAACCUGCCCACCACUUGGGGAUAACCUUGCGAAAGUAAGACUAAUACCCAAUGACGUCUCUAGAAGACAUCUGAAGGAGAUUAAAGAUUUAUCGGUGAUGGAUGGGGAUGCGUCUGAUUAGCUUGUUGGCGGGGUAACGGCCCACCAAGGCUACGAUCAGUAGGGGUUCUGAGAGGAAGGUCCCCCACAUUGGAACUGAGACACGGUCCAAACUCCUACGGGAGGCAGCAGUGAGGAAUAUUGGUCAAUGGACGAGAGUCUGAACCAGCCAAGUAGCGUGCAGGAUGACGGCCCUAUGGGUUGUAAACUGCUUUUAUAAGGGAAUAAAGUGAGUCUCGUGAGGCUUUUUGCAUGUACCUUAUGAAUAAGGACCGGCUAAUUCCGUGCCAGCAGCCGCGGUAAUACGGAAGGUCCGGGCGUUAUCCGGAUUUAUUGGGUUUAAAGGGAGCGUAGGCCGGAGAUUAAGCGUGUUGUGAAAUGUAGACGCUCAACGUCUGCACUGCAGCGCGAACUGGUUUCCUUGAGUACGCACGAAGUGGGCGGAAUUCGUGGUGUAGCGGUGAAAUGCUUAGAUAUCACGAAGAACUCCGAUUGCGAAGGCAGCUCACUGGAGCGCAACUGACGCUGAAGCUCGAAAGUGCGGGUAUCGAGCAGGAUUAGAUACCCUGGUAGUCCGCACGGUAAACGAUGGAUGCCCGCUGUUGGUCUGAAUAGGUCAGCGGCCAAGCGAAAACAUUAAGCAUCCCACCUGGGGAGUACGCCGGCAACGGUGCAACUCAAAGGAAUUGACGGA